rnacentral:misc_RNA from 1 species
UAUCACCAUUGACUGGAAUCUCUUAUGGAUCACGUAUUACAGAACUCUUGCCCACAAAUAUGCAUCUAUAGCAUCACUCCCCUUCCUAGAGAAAGAGCUUGUCCUCAAGCUCAACAGUAGGAUAAGACUGUGAAUCAUCCAUAGUCCCUUUGCUCCAUUGCUUCCUUUGAAUCAUCCAUUUCUAACAAAAACAACUUCUUAAAUUGAUGCUUGGAGGAAUAUAGUUCCUCACGAUUAUAGCAAAGCCAUUUUGCUCUUUGCUCAACCAUCUCUAGAUGGCUUAAUCUUUUAAUAAAGGGAGACAAAACACUUCCUAAAUUGGAAUUCUGUAAUGUGCUU